rnacentral:rRNA from 1 species
AUUGAACGCUGGCGGCAGGCCUAACACAUGCAAGUCGAACGAGUGGCGGACGGGUGAGUAAUGUCUGGGAAACUGCCUGAUGGAGGGGGAUAACUACUGGAAACGGUAGCUAAUACCGCACACCAUCAGAUGUGCACAGAUGGGAUUAGCUAGUUGGUGGGGUAACGGCUCACCAAGGCGACGAUCCCUAGCGGGGCUGAGAGGAUGACGAGCCACACGGGAACGGAGCCACGGUCCAGCCUCCUACGGUGGGCAGCGGUGGGGAAUAUUGCACAAUGGGCGAAAGCCUGAUGAAGCCAUGCCGCGUGUGUGAAGAAGGCCUUCGGUUUGUAAAGUACUUUCAGCGGGGAGGCGUUACCCGCAGAAGAAGCACCGGCUAACUCCGUGCCAGCCGCCGCGGUAAUUC